ensembl:lncRNA
ACUCUACAACACCUGAGGCCAGCACUACAGAACAAAUAACUACAGUUGAUAACACAACACAACUGAUCACAGUUACCAACUCUACAACACCUGAGGCCAGCACUACAGAACAAAUAACUACAGUUGAUAACACAACACAACUGACCACAGUUACCAGUAAAUACAAUCAAGUACUAGUGAAAAUAAUUUGUUCUGAAAUUCAGGUCUUCACAUGUUUGUCACAAUCUCUCUCUCUCUCUCUCUCUCUCUCUCUCUCUCUCUCUCUCUCUCUCUCUCUCUCUCCCUCCCUCCCUCGCUGUCUGUAUGUCUGUCUGUCUGUCUGUCUGUCUGUCUGUCUGUCUGUCUGUCUGUCUGUCUGUCUCUCUCUCUCUCUCUCUCUCUCUCUCUCUCUCUCUCUCUCUCUCUCUCUCUCUCUCUCUCUCUCUUUCUCUCUCUCUCUCUCUCUCUCUCUAAUUUAGACUCUACGACACCUGAGGCCAGCACUACAGAACAAAUGACCAAAGUUACCAACUCUACAACAACUCCACCCACAACAGGACAAAGUACUACAGCUGACCCCACAACACAACUGACCACAAUUACCAACUUUACUACACCUGCAGCUACAACAAAUCAGACCACUACAGUUGACCCCACAACACAACCGACCACAGACACGAGAACUACAGUAACUACUGAACCACCACCAGCAACUACAAAAACGACACCACCAACAACAAUACCACCAACAACACCACCAACAACAGUACCACCACCAACAACAAUACCACCACCAACACCACCAACACCACCAACAACAACACCACCAACACCACCAACAACAACACCACCAUCAACUACAAAACCAGCUGGUAUGUGUAAGAAUAGAAGAUGUUUCUGAACACUGCUGAAUGAAUCCUGAUUAUGCCAUGAUUAUGAAAAAUCAUGAAUCAAUCAUGAACCUUGAUGGGUGAGAAGGUUACAGAGGCUACAACAAAACAUGUUAACCUCUCACCAUUAGCAAUAGCAUUUUUGGGGUGUAUGAUGUGCCUCUGUUAAUUUCUCAGUCAUUAUUAUUCACGAUUCAUUCACAUUUAUCCAUAAUCAUGGUAGCAUCCACAUUCAUGUAGAAGUGUUCAGAGACAUCUUCUAUUCUUACUUACAAUAAAAGGGUCUCCAAAAUGACACAAUGCAUUAUUCACCAUUCAGUUCCUAUAGGGAAAAAUAUCAUCUGAUCAUCAUUAUGCAAAUGCAUUCAAUGAGUUUGUUGAGUCACAAGCUUGAUUUAGUCGUUGAGUGCAAGGAAUAUGAGAACAAAUACUACACUUGUGACUACUUUACUACACUAUAAGUACAUUUUUCUUAUGACUUUCUCAAAUGUGGGGACAAGAUACAUAAAGUGCUUUAAUUUCUUUAUUUUUUAAUAUUUUUUUAUUUUUCAUUUUUAUAAAAAAACAAAAAUGGUAUUUCAUGGUAUCAGUCAGUUCAGUUGAGUCAGACUCAUCACUGCAACUCCCGUACGGACUCGUUCGAGGCGAAGGUCAAGAGCUGUGCGUCCUCCGAAACACAACCCAACCAAGCCGUACUGCCUCUGGACACAAUGCCCACUUAACCCGGAAGCCAGCCGCACCAAUGUGUUGGAGGAAACACCGUACACCUGGCGACCGUGUCAGCGUGCAUUGUGCCCGGCCAGCCACAGGAGUCUCUAGUACGCGAUGGGACAAGGACAUCCCUGCCGGCCAAACCUUCCCCUAACCCGGAAGAUGCUGGGACAAUUGUGCGCCGCCCCAUGGGUCUUCCGGUCGCGGCCGGCUGUGACAGAGCCUGGACUCGAACCCAAAAUCUCUAAUCUCAGGGCCACUCGGGAGGCCCUGUGCUUUAAUUUCUAAACAGUAAAACAGACAUGUAUGAAAAUACCCUCAAAUAACAGGACACAUUCUGUACUGUUGCCUCAUAUGAAACAUUUGAUCUCAAUUCCAAAAGGCUGGAGUAUAAAACCAAAUGUAACACUUUAUCUCCACUGUCCAAAUCCAUAUGGAGGGGAGUAAAUAAUAGGAUACACAGUAUAGGUAGCAACAAUGCCAUUCCAUUUAAGCACAUUUGUCAUUCUUCUUCUUUUGUUUCAGAUAUUCUGUUGCUGGCGAUGUCCUUCAAAAUGAAUGAAGAGUUCACCAACGACCUAAAUGAUAAAAAUAGUGUCAAAUACAAAAAGUACAGAGACGAUAUUGAACCAGUUGUAAGUACAUGACUCAAGCUAUUGUUGGCCCAAGUAAAUAAUAAAAUGCAUUAAAUAACUAUUCCUCCAAUUAUCUAGCCAGGGUACAUUUUCAGUGUAAUGAUUAUGAAUGCUUCGGAUGUACACUAUAUAUACAAAAGUAUGUGGAAACCCCUUCAAAUGAUUGGAUUCGGCUAUUUCAAUCACACCCGUUACUGACAGGUGUAUAAAACCAAGCCAUGCGCAAUGCUAAGCAUCGGCUGGAGUGGUGUAAAGCUCACCGCCAUUGGACUCUGGAGCAGUGGAAAUGCGUUCUCUGGAGUGAUGGAGCACGCUUCACCAUCUGGCAGUCUGGCAAACUAAUCAGGAGAACGCUACCUGCCCAAAUGCAUAGUUCCAACUGUAAAGUUUGGUGGAGGGGGAAUAAUGUCUGGGGCUGUUUUUCAUGGUUCAGGCUCCUUAGCUCCAGUGAAGGGAAAUCUUAACGCUACAGCGUACAAUGACAUUCUAGAUGAUUCUGUGCUUCCAACAUUGUGGAAACAGUUUGGGGAAGGCCCUUUUCUGUUUCAGCAUGACAAUGCCCCCGUGCACAAAGCGAGAUCCAUACAGAAAUGGUUUGUCGAGAUCGUUGUGGAAAAACUUGACUGGCCUGAACAGAGCCCUGACCUCAACCCCAUCGAACACCUUUGGGAUGAAUUGGAACGCCAACUGCGAGCCAGGCCUAAUUGCUCAACAUCACCUCACUAUUGCUCUUGUGGCUGAAAGGAAUCAAGUCCCCACAGCAAUGUUCCAACAUCUAGUGUAAAGCCUUCCAGAAGAGUGGCUGUUAUAGCAGCAAAGGGGGGACCAACUCUAUAGUUCGACGAGCAGGUUUACACAUACUUUUGGUCAUGUAGUGCAUUGGAAAUAUUGCAAAAAACAUUUUUUACAUGAUC